rnacentral:lncRNA from 1 species
UUUUUUAAUUGAUAUAUUUUAAUAAUGUAUACUUGAUUUUAGUAGACAAAAAUAUCCUUAUAUAUCAUGAUUCUAAGUUUUAAGGUUAAGGAUAUUUUAAUAAUUUUUAUUCUCAAACUAAAAAAACUUACUCAUCUCUCUCAUUCCUCUCAAUCAUUUCUCUUUCAUCUAUGAAACUCCAACAUUUUCUCUCACUCUCAAAACUAAAAAAAAAAAAAAAGAAACAAAACCCUCCAAACCCUUACUCACCUCUCUCAUUCCUCUCCACCCUUUCUCUUUCAUUUCUCUUACCCCAACAUUUUCUCUAUCAUCCCUACGGUAACUCCAAUUGAGAAAAAAUCAGAAAGACUUGUCUAACCU